rnacentral:rRNA from 1 species
CCUACGGGGGGCAGCAGUAGGGAAUUUUCGGCAAUGGGCGAAAGCCUGACCGAGCAACGCCGCGUGAACGAAGAAGGUCUUCGGAUUGUAAAGUUCUGUUAUCGAGGAAGAACGGUGUACGUAGGAAAUGGCGUACAAAUGACGGUACUCUGUGAGGAAGCCACGGCUAACUACGUGCCAGCAGCCGCGGUAAUACGUAGGUGGCGAGCGUUAUCCGGAUUCAUUGGGCGUAAAGCGCGCGCAGGCGGGCCGCUAAGCGGGACCUCUAAUCUUGGGGCUCAACC